AUUGAACGCUGGCGGCAGGCCUAACACAUGCAAGUCGAGCGGAGCGGCGGACGGGUGCGGAACACCUAGGAAUCUGCCUGGGAGUGGGGGAUAAAGUACGGAAACGGGCGCUAAGACCGCAUACUAUCAGAAGAGCCUAGGUCGGAUUAGCUAGUUGGUGGGGUAAAGGCCUACCAAGGCGACUAUCCGUACCUGGUCUGAGAGGAUGAUCAGUCACCCGGGAACUGAGACACGGCCCAGACUCCUACGGGAGGCAGCAGUGGGGAAUAUGGGACAAUGGGCGCAAGCCUGAUCCAGCCAUGCCGCGUGUGUGAAGAAGGUCUUCGGAUUGUAAAGCACUUUAAGUUGGGAGGCGUUACCAACAGAAUAAGCACCGGCUAACUUCGUGCCAGCAGCCGCGGUAAUUC
rnacentral:rRNA from 1 species